GCGACGAAUGCGGAACGAAACUACAUCGCUUAUGACGACCGGGUCGCGGGUUCGAAUCCCGCCGGGCGCAAGCCCGUAGCUCAGUGGUAGAGCAGGGCUCGAGGAGCGCGGCGCGAGCUGCUUUCGCAAGAGCUAUGUUUCGUUCAAAUUUGUCGUCGCGGC
rnacentral:Y_RNA from 1 species